UUCUUGACUAACUUUGCAUGCGGGCUCCCUGCACAUCUGUGCGGCCAACCGUAAUGGGGUUAGUCUCUUCACUGUCUCUCUCGUCAAUUCGUUUUGUCGGGCAGGGAUUUUUGUUGUCGGUUGCCUGCGUUGUUCUACCCAUGUGGGUAGGCAUCAUAAUUGACCCGUUAAAUAUUUUUGGCUGUAUUGCCGAUAGUUUUCUGUCGGCAAGCAGCUGAGGCGUCGACAUAAUUCUUUUGCUGCCAUAGUGCAAUGCUGUGGCGUCGCAUCAGGAUGAUUGUCGGUUCUCACGGAUGUGGUGCCUAGUGCGAGCUGUGCGGACCGUUUGGUCCUACGCUUUGCGAGGCCUCCCAUGCACGUGUCACUGCUCUUGCGCUCAACGCAAUGCGAUUGUUGCGCACGUGACGUGAUCCUGGGCGUGUGGAAGUGCUCUCUUAAUCGGAUGACCCAUGAUUGUCGGUUCAUGUUGUUGACGGUGCCUCUCGUUUGGGUUGGCGCUUAAGACGACGUGCACCGGCUCUCGCUUAAGACGUGC
rnacentral:misc_RNA from 1 species